rnacentral:rRNA from 1 species
CCUACGGGUGGCAGCAGUCGAGAAUCAUUCACAAUGGGGGAAACCCUGAUGGUGCGACGCCGCGUGGGGGAAUGAAGGUCUUCGGAUUGUAAACCCCUGUCAUGUGGGAGCAAAUUAAAAAGACAGUACCACAAGAGGAAGAGACGGCUAACUCUGUGCCAGCAGCCGCGGUAAUACAGAGGUCUCAAGCGUGGUUCGGAAUCACUGGGCGUAAAGCGUGCGUAGGCUGUUUCGUAAGUCGUGUGUGAAAGGCGCGGGCUCAACCCGCGGACGGCACAUGAUACUGCGAGACUAGAGUAAGGGAGGGGGAACCGGAAUUCUCGGUGUAGCAGUGAAAUGCGUAGAUAUCGAGAGGAACACUCGUGGCGAAGGCGGGUUCCUGGACAUUAACUGACGCUGAGGCACGAAGGCCAGGGGAGCGAAAGGGAUUAGAUACCCCAGUAGUC